rnacentral:rRNA from 1 species
AGAGUUUGAUCAUGGCUCAGAGUGAACGCUGGCGGCGUGCUUAACACAUGCAAGUCGAACGAGAACGGUCCUUGCUUGCAAGGAUGUCAGCUAAGUGGCGCACGGGUGAGUAAUAUAUAGUUAAUCUGCCUUGGAGAUGGGAAUAAUUGUUGGAAACGACUUGUAAGACCCUAUAUGCCUUUAGUACAUAAGUACGCAAGGGAAACAUUUAUGGCUCCAAGAUGAGACUGUACAGUAUCAGAUUGUUGGUGGGGUAAUGGCCUACCAAGUCUAUGACGCUUAACUGGUUUGAGAGGAUGAUCAGUCACACUGGAACUGAGACACGGUCCAGACUCCUACGGGAGGCAGCAGUGGGGAAUAUUGCACAAUGGACGAAAGUCUGAUGCAGCAACGCCGCGUGGAGGAUGACACAUUUCGGUGCGUAAACUCCUUUUAUAUGAGAAGAUAAUAACGGUAUCAUAUGAAUAAGCACCGGCUAACUCCGUGCCAGCAGCCGCGGUAAUACGGGGGGUGCAAGCGUUACUCGGAAUCACUGGGCGUAAAGAGCAUGUAGGCUGGUAGAAAAGUCGGAAGUGAAAUCCUAUAGCUCAA